CUGUAAGAAUUCUUGCAAGAGGGAAUGUGAAUCCUGGAGCUAAUUCUGCCCGUUUCCACCAGCCCCCUCCCUGAGGGGCUCAGCUGGCCGUGCUAAAAGCCACAGUAGAAAGGUGAAAACGAAUAUUACAAGAUCUUGGAAGCAUCUGAGGUUUAAUGAGGACUUUCCAGCAUUCCAGACUGCUGCCCUGCAAUGAAGCUCUGAGUCACGGUCUUUGGGGCUAAGGUAUUGGCAACAAUGUGGAACCCCAGGACAGCUAACCUGACUAACCUUCGCUGUAACCAGGAUCCCAAAAGGGGUCUGGCAUGAAAUCAGAGCAUAGAGAAAGACUUGCUUGUUAAUGGAAACAGGAAAGAAAAAAAGGGUUUCCAACAAAUUGCAACAGACUUUCCACCAUUCUAAAGAACCCACCUUCCUUAUCGACCAAGCCGUUCUAUCUAGUGACUCCCAUUCCAGCCUUUUGCCAGAAACAGAGCAUGUCAAUCCUGCUGGAAAAAUAAAGAUAGGACCUCUGACAAGACCUGGAACAGUGAUACUCUCAAAACGGUCCAGUAGGAGAAUUAUGUCAGAAAGUCCGCACAGCCCCCCUGUGAUACCAUCCCGCAGGCCUGGAUUCCGGGUGUGCUAUAUCUGUGGCCGAGAAUUUGGCUCCCAAUCAAUUGCCAUUCAUGAACCCCAGUGCUUGGAGAAGUGGCAUAUUGAAAACAGCAAGUUUCCCAAACACCUGCGGAGGCCAGAACCCUCCAAACCACAGCCUCUCAGGGGCAGUGGGUCCUACAAUCUUCAGGCCGUGAACGAAGCAGCAUUUCAAAGUUCCCAGGCUCAGCUGCUGCCCUGUGAAUCCUGUGGCCGCACAUUCUUGCCAGAUCGUCGUCUUGUUCACCAGAGGAGCUGCAAGCCGAAGGAUGAGGGGCCCAGAGCACCAAACCCCAACCGUUUUGAUGAUCUGACUGGUGCCAGGAAAGCUGCUGGUGGCAUCCCAGCCCGACCAAAGACUCUCAUCUGCUACAUUUGUGGCAGGGAAUUUGGCACUUUGUCCCUUCCUAUUCAUGAGCCCAAAUGCCUAGAAAAGUGGCAAAUACAAAACGACCGGCUCCCCAGGGAGCUCCGCCGACCACUCCCACGGAAGCCUCAGCCCCUUCCAACUGGACAGUCCAACCAAGAGGAGCCAAGUCAAGCUCAGCUGGUGCCCUGUGCAAAUUGCGGCCGGACCUUUGCCCCAGACCGCCUUCUGGUACACCAGAGAAGCUGUAGGGUUCAACCAAGUGCACCAAAAAUUCAGAAUUUGACCUUAGGGAGGAAAGGUGGCCUGAAAGAGUCCACAAAUUCCAAGCAGCAAAGGAACAUGGCAGUGCCCACUGUGACUGAUAAGCCAGCAAUGAUUAGGCGUCCACCAACAAUCAUCUGCUACAUUUGUGGCCGUGAAUAUGGAACAAAAUCCAUUGCCAUCCACGAGCCACAAUGUCUGAAAAAAUGGCAUAACGAAAACAACUUGUUGCCCAAAGAGUUAAGGAGAUCAGAACCCAAGAAACCAGAAGUCAGGACCAUUACUGCAGUUCUCUGUGUUUUCAAAAAAUCUGUUUUCUUCACUUCUGACCGUAUCCGUUUUUCUGCUUGAGCAUAAUUAUCACAAGUCUAGAAGAUCAGAGAGUAAUGACUGGCUUGAAGGCCCUCGGGGAUUCAUUAAUCAGUUACUGCCCACAGAUGGAAAAGCCAAAGGUUUCUAUGAUCUCGAUGCCUUAAAUGAAGCUGCUUGGACAAGCGCCCUGAGCCAGUUGGUUCCCUGUAAUAUUUGUGGGCGUACCUUCCUGCCAGACAGACUGAUUGUUCACCAACGAUCCUGUAAGCCAAAAGUCGCCAAGUAAAGCCCUUUCUCCCAGCAA